ACGUUGGAUUACCAGUGAGCGGCGGACGGGUGAGUAACACGUGGGCAACCUGCCCUGAAGCGGGGGAUAACAUCUGGAAACAGGUGCUAAUACCGCAUAACAACGAAAACCACAUGGUUUUCGUUUCAAAGAUGGUUUCGGCUAUCACUUCAGGAUGGGCCCGCGGUGCAUUAGCUAGUUGGUAAGGUAACGGCUUACCAAGGCAAUGAUGCAUAGCCGAGUUGAGAGACUGAUCGGCCACAAUGGAACUGAGACACGGUCCAUACUCCUACGGGAGGCAGCAGUAGGGAAUCUUCCACAAUGGGCGCAAGCCUGAUGGAGCAACACCGCGUGAGUGAAGAAGGGUUUCGGCUCGUAAAGCUCUGUUGUUGGAGAAGAACGUGCGUGAGAGUAACUGUUCACGCAGUGACGGUAUCCAACCAGAAAGUCACGGCUAACUACGUGCCAGCAGCCGCGGUAAUACGUAGGUGGCAAGCGUUGUCCGGAUUUAUUGGGCGUAAAGCGAGCGCAGGCGGUUUGCUUAGGUCUGAUGUGAAAGCCUUCGGGCUUAACCGAAGAAGGGCAUCGGAAACCCGGGCAACUUUGAGUGCAUAUAGAGGACAGGUGGAACUCCAUGUGU
rnacentral:rRNA from 1 species